rnacentral:lncRNA from 1 species
UCACUGGCAACAUUUUUAUUUCCUCUUCCUGCAAUUUUGUAUUCUGCUGGCCUAGGGGUCUUAGUUCCAGAGGCAGAAAUGCUUCAACCAGGAGACACAACAGUGUUUCCAUUGAAUUGUUCCUGGUCUUGAGGGCUUCAGCAGUGAAACUGCAAACCUUCCUGGUGAGUAUUACAGCUCACAAACCUAGUGCAGACCCAAAGUGCUAGGAAUAACAACAUUUAGUUCAAAAAACCAAAAAAACCCCUCCUCCUCUCCCCCCCCCCCACCCCCCCCCAAGAAAGUGACCCAAGCAGGUUGCCGCUGUUGGUCUGCGUGGUCUGCUUUUAUUCCCUUAUCUGGCCCCACCCACAUCCUGCUGAUUGGUCCAUUUUACAGAGAGCUGAUUGGCCCAUUUUACAGAGAGCUGAUUGGUCCGUUUUGACAGAGUGCUGAUUGGUGCGUUUACAAUCCUUUAGCUAGACAGAAAAGUUCUCCAAGUCCUCACUGGACCCAGAAGCGCAACCGGCUUCACCUCUCGCAGUCCAGGCGGGACUUUGCGGCACCUGUCCCAGGCACUCCUGCUUCCCAGAGGGAGGUCUUCCCAGCCAAUCAAGAGGAAGAGAGGAGAAGCUAGUAACAGAAGGAGACCCGCCAUCGUGGCCAACGACACCGCGAAGAGGGAAGGGCGGUCCAUGCACGAGACCCAGCGUCCAAUCAAGCCCAGCAGGCGCCGGCCAGCCGCGGUGAAUUUCAGUCAGUGCGUCAAAUUCCGUAAAAGAUGCAAUUGCAGUUUAACUGGGAUUCCACGGUGCAUUUCGAUCACUUUGGGAGACCGUUGACAUCUUUACAAUGUUAAUUUUCUCGUUCAAGAUUUCUCUCCAUUUACUCAGAAAGUUUCUUUUGUGUCUGCCAAUAAAGUUUUAGUUUUCCUCUCACAGGUUUUGUGUGCAUUUUUGUUACUUCCAACCUCUGCCCCCUGGUAUUUUACAGUUUUUCUAGCUAUUGUAAAUGGGACAGCUUCUUUCAAAUGGUUAUUUCUUGUGUAUAAAGAUAUGGAUUUUUAU